UACGGAGGGAGCUAGGCGUUGUUCGGAAUUACUGGGCGUAAAGCGCGCGUAGGCGGCUUUGUAAGUUAGAGGUGAAAGCCCGGGGCUCAACUCCGGAACUGCCUUUAAGACUGCAUCGCUAGAAUCCGGGAGAGGUGAGUGGAAUUCCGAGUGUAGAGGUGAAAUUCGUAGAUAUGGGGCGGAACACCGGUGGCGAAGGCGGGUUGCUGGGCCGACACUGACGCUGAGGCGCGAAAGCCAGGGGAGCGAACGGGG
rnacentral:rRNA from 1 species